rnacentral:miRNA from 1 species
GCAAUGCUGUGCUAUCACAGUGCUCCACUAUGAUAUCACACUGCUCUGUGUAACAUAACGAUGCUGUAUUGUGAUAUUACAAGGCUGUGUGUGCAUCAUAAUG